rnacentral:rRNA from 1 species
GAUGAACGCUAGCGGCAGGCCUAACACAUGCAAGUCGAGGGAGGAGCUUUCGGGCUUCGACCGGCGUACGGGUGCGUAACGCGUAUACAAUCUGCCUUUCACAUAGGGAUAGCCCGAAGAAAUUUGGAUUAAUACCUAAUGGUAUAUAGAGGUGGCAUCACCUUUAUAUUAAAGCUGAGGCGGUGAAAGAUGAGUAUGCGUUCUAUUAGCUAGUUGGAGAGGUAACGGCUCCCCAAGGCGACGAUAGAUAGGGGUUCUGAGAGGGAUAUCCCCCACACUGGUACUGAGAUACAGACCAGACUCCUACGCGAGGCAGCAGUGAGGAAUAUUGGACGAUGGUCGGAAGACUGAUCCAGCCAUGCCGCGUGCAGGAAGACGGCCUUAGGGGUUGUAAACUGCUUUUGCAGAGGAAGAAUAAGGACUACGCGUAGUUUGAUGACGGUACUCUGCGAAUAAGCAUCGGCUAACUCCGUG